GAUGAACGCUGGCGGCGUGCCUAAUACAUGCAAGUCGAGCGAACAGACGAGGAGCUUGCUCCUCUGACGUUAGCGGCGGACGGGUGAGUAACACGUGGAUAACCUACCUAUAAGACUGGGAUAACUUCGGGAAACCGGAGCUAAUACCGGAUAACAUGUUGAACCGCAUGGUUCAACAGUGAAAGACGGUCUUGCUGUCACUUAUAGAUGGAUCCGCGCCGCAUUAGCUAGUUGGUAAGGUAACGGCCUACCAAGGCAACGAUGCGUAGCCGACCUGAGAGGGUGAUCGGCCACACUGGAACUGAGACACGGUCCAGACUCCUACGGGAGGCAGCAGUAGGGAAUCUUCCGCAAUGGGCGAAAGCCUGACGGAGCAACGCCGCGUGAGUGAAGAAGGUCUUCGGAUCGUAAAACUCUGUUAUUAGGGAAGAACAAAUGUGUAAGUAACUAUGCACGUCUUGACGGUACCUAAUCAGAAAGCCACGGCUAACUACGUG
rnacentral:rRNA from 1 species